ACUCCUACGGGAGGCAGCAGUAGGGAAUCUUCCACAAUGGGCGCAAGCCUGAUGGAGCAACACCGCGUGAGUGAAGAAGGGUUCGGCUCGUAAAGCUCUGUUGUUAAAGAAGAACACGUAUGAGAGUAACUGUUCAUACGUUGACGGUAUUUAACCAGAAAGUCACGGCUAACUACGUGCCAGCAGCCGCGGUAAUACGUAGGUGGCAAGCGUUAUCCGGAUUUAUUGGGCGUAAAGAGAGUGCAGGCGGUUUUCUAAGUCUGAUGUGAAAGCCUUCGGCUUAACCGGAGAAGUGCAUCGGAAACUGGAUAACUUGAGUGCAGAAGAGGGUAGUGGAACUCCAUGUGUAGCGGUGGAAUGCGUAGAUAUAUGGAAGAACACCAGUGGCGAAGGCGGCUACCUGGUCUGCAACUGACGCUGAGACUCGAAAGCAUGGGUAGCGAACAGGAUUAGAUACCCUGGUAGGAUAGCG
rnacentral:rRNA from 1 species